CUCUCAUUCUCAAACCCCAGGUUGACCCAUUUCUCGCUCCCAUUGGCCCGCCUCAGCUCCAACCAUUGGUCCAAGGUACCUGUCCGUUUCCGGAGAGAGUUCGACACCGCCCGUCAGGAAGAGACUGCGGCUUCAUUGGGCGCCUGAGGAAGGAUGGGUGGACCCUAAAAGGGUUCCUUCCAGUCACUGGCCGGGAAAACAGUGGUCCUGGUUCUCAGAUUUCCCCAGGCCCGUGGUAUGGAUAAGAAGCCUUUCCACUGGGUGGGCUUUCUACUGAUGCUGAAUCCAGUAACAGCCGAAGAAAUUCAUCCUUUUGCUGUUGAAACCUUCAGCCCUCCCACUCUGUUUGCUCCUCCCUGUCUCAACUGCUCUCCUUUUUUAUAAUCGGCUGCCAAGAAAGGACUCAAACUUUGAAGAGUGAAUAAAUCAUACUUCCAGUAUUACCUGAAAUGAGGAUUUGAAACUUAAAGGGGACCCAAGAAGAGAAGCGUCUCACUAGAAAACAAGAGCUCCAGGGAAGCCAGUUCUGGGUUCUGUGUCCCCAGUUACCAACUGGAGCAUCUCUCACCCACAUUGACCUCAUCAAUAAAAUGAAGACACCAACCCAUGCCUGCCUUGGAGCAGCUGGGGGCACCAGAUUGCCUUCAAGAUCUUGUCCAGCUCUGAAGAAAUGGAGUUGAACAGAGGAAUGCAUGCCACCAGCAAGCUGGGGAAAAGGACGCUCAAGGGCCUGUGAUUUCAAAGAGGCUUCUGUUUGGGCCCUAAGAAAUCAGAUGGUCAAGUGUGGCCUGUACAGCAUAAUAGUACGACUCUGGGAGUUCCCGCCAUGGCUCAGUGAUAACAAACCCAACUAGUAUCCAUGAGGACUCAGGUUCAAUUCCUAGCCCCACUCAGUGGGUUAAGGAUCCAGCAUUGCUGGGAGCUGCAGUGUGGGUCGCAGACUCGGCUCAGAUCUGGCAUUGUUGUGGCUGUGGUAUAGGCUGGCAGCUGUAGCUCUGAUUCGACCCCUAGCCCGGGAACUUUCCAUAUGCCAUGGGUGUGCCCUAAAAACAAAACAAAACCACAACAACAACAACAAAACAAAUAUUAUGACUCUAACAAUCUCUGACAGUAGAGAUAUCACCCUCAAGCCCUUUUGUGAUUCCAUCUCUUCAAAAUCAUCUUGCCAUAUAACUCCACCACUUCACUCCUGAGAACAUAACUUCCUCUGCCUACUGAGUUCCCACCUAGCCUUUAAGACCUAGCCCCAGAGAUCUGAGCUCUAGCAAAUUUUCCUGACUCUCCUAGACACACAGGCUUCCUCUCUGGGUUGCACAGAACUGACCCACACCCGGAACCCUCACCACUUUGCACUGCCACCUGCUCCCCUCCCUUGACCAUCAGAUCUUUGAGAAAAGAGAUAAUGGUGCUUAUAUAAUGAUCUGCCAUAUAUAAAGGGCCUUCUCUUACAUUUUCUCAUUAACGCACACAUAGGCCUGGGAGGAUGGAUGCAGCGGUGACUUGCCCAGGUCACUUGGUAAAUCACCCAGUUUGGGGACCAACAACCCCAGCUUGUAGGUGUCCCUGUCAGCUUUCUGUUGUGAGGAAGAAAGCUUCCCAAAAGGGCAGCAUCCCCCACAGUUUCUUUCUCCUUCUUCUCCCAUCAAAUUCAAAUGUCAGGCAGAUAAGAAGCUGAAAGUUCUAAUAACCUGCCUUCUUUACUUGUUUGUCUAGCUCCUCUGGUUAAGACCCUGUUCGAAGAGCUGAAACUGUUCUCCUGGAGGCCACCAGGCUUCAGGCGUCUGACACCAGAGCCUGAGACCUCUGCUGUAAAGCCUGGUCUUUCUGAGUUGUUGCAGACCCCCUCUCUCAGAUGACAACCUAGUGUAAGCCACAAUUAAAUUGAGGGCCCUUGAGGGCUUCUCUGUUAUUGCUAAGAAUCAUUCACUGGAUAUACUGAGGAAUGAGACCUCUUGUGUUUCUCAUCACAAUUCAUCAGGGUCUCUUCCCUCUAGCUGUGUAGCCUGCAGCAAGUCAUUCAAUACCCUGGACCUCAGCCUUCUCCUCUGUGAAAACAGAAACUCAGCUUCAUCAAUAUCACUUAGAUGCCAUCACGUACAGAGCCCAGAGCUAGGUAGUGGGGCCAUAGAUGCCAAGCUCAGCAGAACAUGGUCUCUGCCCCAAAUAAAUGUGAAGUCAAAUGGGAGCCACAGGAAUUAAGAACAGAUCCCACAGCAGAGAGAGUAAAGUAGACAUGGAAGAAAGACUGUCAAACCUCAUUUGCCUGCCUCACAUGGUUGGGCCAAGAAUCAGAUGAGGUCAUAGACCUCAAGCAUUCUUAAAGCACUGCAACUGUAAGCCAUUGCAUUAUUGACUUCUAGAAGAGACACCAAUUGUGUCAUCUGCUCAAAUCUCUCUUCUUUCCCAAGAACUGAUCCUAUACCCAAAUCCGCAUCAUAGUGGUGACCCUCCUACAGUGCCAUUUGGGCUGUUUUGGUUGAUUGAACAGACCCCUGGCCCAAGCUGGGCGCAUAAUGUCCCUGCUCUGGGUUUGGAAUGGGAAUGAAGGUAAUUCCAUCUCAGUUACCCUGGGCAAAUCCUGGAGGCACAGACAGCUAUUUUCUGACAAGGUGGCCUGGAAAAUUCAAGAAUGCCGGACUGCCACGUGUGCAUGGGAAAAUGGAACAGAUUCAGAGAGGAAGCAGGAGAAGAGGCAGAGGCUUGCUGGCAUUCAGGCCUUCGCUCAGGUCUGUCCCUGCCUGCCAGAGAUGACAUCCCAGCAAGGACCAUCAUUUGCUGAUGAUCGCAGUGAUGGCCUUCAAUCCCUUGAAACGAAAAGAUUUGUCAUUAAGCAUUUGCUAAACAAAUUCAGCUCAGGCUAAUGUGGAACAGAAGUCCUUCCUGAGCCCAUGUAAGAGCUGUACCGUUCAUUCAUUCACUCUUUCAGUUGGUCAGUCAGUGAAUAUUAUUGAAUGCCAACUAUUUACAAGGUUCAUAGGAAGUAGGAAAAAAGUUGGCUGUACCCUUUAUGUUAUAAACCAGCCACUGAGUGUCAGCCUUUGGGCCAGCUGGCUCCCAGAGCUCCUGAAAUUCCCCACUUGUGCCCUGGGAGCACUUUGGUGGUGCCUGAUGCCACUGACACUUGCAGUUACCCCUAAGGGGCUCUGGAGCUUUAGACACAAGGCCAUCUCUCUGCUCAUCACCUCUCCCCUUCUGGUAGCAGCCACUAGACCCCCACUUUUACCCCCCAACCACCACAUACUUUCAGGAGCUGCUCUACGCCAUCCCAUGCUCUUCUGGUGAGACUGUCCAUCACAGGACCCCUCCUCUGAUCAAGGGGUGGACACAGGACCUAAGUGGGCAAUCAGAAUCUCUUCCUGAAGAAUCUGAAUGUUGAGCUGAGGCAAAUACAAGGGGUCAUUUCCCAGCUGCACCCCAUAAAACAGAUCCCCAGUCUGCUCCCUGGAUUCAAUUGUUCCUUUAAAGCUGUAGCCAUUCCAGUAUCCAUCACUCAAAAAAAUUAAAUAUCUUCUGAACUAAGUUGGCCAAUCAGUUACUCGUAAAGUAAGAGUCCUGACACAUCCUUUUUGGAUAAAACACAUGGAUAAGCGAAGAAAAGAGAAGGAAAAUAAAAGAAAGAGGAAAGUUGCAUCAGGCCCCCUACCCAAGCCUAUGGCUCACACCUCAAUCCUAUUUUUAAGAACCUUUAAUGAAUCUAUAUUUACCAUGAGGUUUUUUAUUUAUGGAAAUCUACACAAGUCAUUUGGCUGAAGGCUGGAGCUUAUUUCAGGAAAGUAAGUCUGUCAUCUCUCGAAAGCCCCUAUUAGCUCCUCACCUAUAGCUCAUUUCCAAGGCAAAAAGAACUGGGACCCAGAUUCUAAAGCAGGAUGCAAAGAGCGUUUAAAGAAACAGGAGUGUGAUUUUUGUAUAAUCCUUCCAAUCAACACAGAUCCCUCAUGAAAAUGCAUUUCUUUUCUAAAAAAUUUAUUUUAUUGCAGUACAGUUGAUUUGCAAUGUUAUGCUAAUUUCUGCAGUACAGCAAAGUGAUUCAAUUAUGUAUAUACUUUUCCUAAUGAUUUAUUACAAGGUAUUGAAUAUAGUUCCCUAUGCUAUAGUGUAGUAGUAGAUAAACUCCUUGUAUAUCCAUUCUAUAUAUAAUAGUUUGCAUCUGCUAAUUGCAAAUUCCCAGUCCAUCCCUUCCCCACAUCCACACCCUUGGGAACCACAGGUCCCUUAUCUAGGUCUGUGAAUCUGUGUCUGUUUCCUAGUUAAGUUCAUUUGUGUCGUAUUUUCAAUUCCAUAUAUAAAGUAUCAUAUAGUAAUUGUCUUUCUCUUUCUGACUUCACUUAGAAUGAUAAUCUCUAGUUCAAGCAGUGUUGUUCCAAAGGGCACUAUCUCAUUUCACUCUCUUUUAUGUCUGUACUAGUCCACUGUGUGUAUAUAUGCAUACACAUAUAUAUAUAUAUAUAUGAUCACCUCUUCAUUCAUCUGUUGAUGGACAUUUAGGUUGUUUCCAUAUCUUGGCUAUUGUGAAUAAUGCUGCUGUAAACAUCGAUGUGUAUGUAUCCCUUUGAAUCAUUGUUUUGUCCAGGUAUAUGCCCAGGAGGGGUAUUGCUGGAUCAUGUGGCAACUCUGUUUUUAAUUUUUUGAGGAGCCUACAUAUUGUUUUCCACAGUGGCUGCCCCAAUUUACAUUCCCACCAACAGUGUAGGAGGGUUCCCUUUUCUCCAUACACUCUCCAGCAUUUGUAAUUUGUAGGCUUUUUAGUGAUGGCCAUUCUACCAGGGUGAGAUGGUACCUCGUUGUAGUUUUCGGAAACAAAUCCGACUAGGAACCGUGAGGUUGCAGGUUUGAUCCCUGGCCUCGCUCAGUAGGUUAAGGAUCCAGUGUUGCUGCGAGCUGUGGCAUAGGUCACAGAUGUGGCUCAGAUCUGGCAUUACUGUGGCUGUGAUGUAGGCUGGCGGCUACAGCUCUAAUUAGACCCCUAGCCUGGGAACAUCUAUAUGCCGCGAAUGCGGCCCUAAAAAGCCAAAAAAAAAAAAAAAAAGACUCACAGAAUCCUAAAUAAUAGACAAUUAAUCCAACUCCUUAAUUUUACAAAUGAGAAAACUAAGGUGCAAAGAAAAUUGCUGGCACAAUUGAUAGCACGGAGCUAACCAACAGCAGAUCCAGGACCAGAACUCAUGUCCUUUCACCACUAGGUAGAAGUUCUUUCACUAGUUCAUCCCUCCUCUCACACUACAACUCACUUUCUUUAUUUUAUUUUUUAUUUUUUAUUUUUUUGUCUUUUGUCCUUUUAGGGCCACACCUGUGGCAUAUGGAGGUUCCCAGGCUAGGGGUCCAAUCAGAGCUACAGCUGCCGACCUAUGCCAGAACCACAGCAAUGCCAGAUUUGAGCCUGCAAACUAUACCACAGCUCAUGGCAAUGCUGGGUCCUUAACCCACUAAUGAGGCCAGGGAUCAACCCCACAACCUCAUGGUUCCUAGUCGGAUUCGUUUCCGAUGCGCCACGGCGGGAACUCCUCACUUUCUUUAAAUAUAGGAAUUUCCUUUAUCUCUUUCUGUAUAAAUAUUCCAUUGGGCAAUAAAUGUUUGACAAAGAACCUAGAUACAGAAACC
ensembl:lncRNA